CCCUCUCAUCUCUUUCCCCAGUUAGGAACGAGCCUAUGAACAACAGUGAGACUGACAAACGCAGGCAGCAGCACUGGACAGCCAUGCAAGCGAAGACAGGGCCUUUAAACAACAGUGAGACGGACUACCACAGAAGGCAGCACUAGACAGCCAUUGCCAGCGAAGGAAUUAUAUUUUAUGCAGUGCUGGUGAAAUGGACAAUCAGACAUGUCAGCUGUUGUUUCAUUGGAUGUCUUGUGGAAUCUGUCCAUUCUUUUGAAAUAAUGUGGAUUGUGCUACAUGUCCAGGCCUGCUCUGAAAUUAAAUAGGUAUGAUAUCAGGCUCCUAUUGCACAGCAAUACUGUAGCCUACCCAUACUGUAAAAUAUUUUGUUAUAUUUACAGGUCUAUUUUACUUUCGAGCAUGGUUGGCUAUUGAAUGAGCGAUGUUAAGACAGUACACAUAUUUUCCCAGGUUUUUAAGUCCGCCUCCCCCCCCCAUUAAAUCAAGUUAAGGAGGAAACCAAUGUCUUUGCAGCCUGACUUGAGGAUGUUUUAUGUACGAACCGGACGCGGGGGUUAGGAGUGUAUUGCACAAGGCCAGACGAUGUAAACUUUGGCGAACAGUUGGGUUUGGCGGAACCUUUGGGGCUAGUAGAUAGCUGUACAAAACACAAGUUACACACACAUUUUAAAA